AGCACGUAGGUGGGUUUGUAAGUCAGACGUGAAAGCCUUCUGUUCAACGGAAGAAUUGCAUCUGAAACUACAAACCUUGAGUGUAGGAGGGGAGAAUGGAACUUCUGGUGGAGCGGUGAAAUGCGUAGAUAUCAGAAGGAACGCCGGCGGCGAAAGCGAUUCUCUGGCCUAUUACUGACACUCAGUGUGCGAAAGCUAGGGGAGCAAACGGGAUUAGAUACCCCGGUAGUCCUAGCCGUAAACGAUGGGCACUAAGUAGAGGGAAUUACCGAUGUUCUCUCUGCCGUAGCUAACGCAUUAAGUGCCCCGCCUGGGGAGUACGGCCGCAAGGCUAAAACUCAAAAGAAUUGACGGGGGCUCGCACAAGCGGUGGAGCAUGUGGCUUAAUUCGAUGCAACGCGAAAAACCUUACCGGGGCUUGACAUGGUAGAAGUAGGAACCCGAAAGGGUAACGAACGGUAUCCAGUCCGUGACUAUCACAGGUGUUGCAUGGCUGUCGUCAGCUCGUGUCGUGAGACGUUGGGUUAAGUCCCCUAACGAGCGAAACCCUUGUUUUUAGUUGCCAGCGGGUUGUGCCGGGCACUCUAGAAAGACUGCCGUCGUCAAGACGGAGGAAGGUGGGGAUGACGUCAAGUCAUCAUGGCCCUUAUGCCCCGGGCUGCACACGUGCUACAAAUGGCCGGUACAACGGAAGCGAAGCCGAGAGGUGAAGCGAAUCC
rnacentral:rRNA from 1 species